CAUCGCCCAUCCGAUACAACAAAGAUGGCAGUGUUGCCAUUACCAGUAAGCCAAGAGAGGCGAGGGAGUUCAAUGGUCAGCACUUUAUUUUGGAGGAAGCAAUUACAGGGGAUUUUGCUUUGGUGAAAACCUGGAAGGCGGACCGAGCAGGAAACGCGAUUUUCAGGAAAAGUGCAAGGAAUUUCAACUUGCCAAUGUGCAAAGCUGCAGAAACCACAGUGGUAGAGGUUGAAGAAAUUGUGGAUAUUGGAGCAUUUGCUCCAGAAGACAUCCAUAUUCGUCAGAUUUAUGUACAUCGCCUUAUAAAGGGAGAAAAAUAUGAGAAAAGAAUUGAGCCUUUAUCAAUCCGGAAAGAGGGAGAUGAGGAAGCCAAAUCUGCUAAACCUGGAGAUGACGUAAGGGAACGAAUCAUCAAGAGGGCCGCUCUUGAGUUUGAGGAUGGCAUGUAUGUUAAUUUGGGCAUAGGAAUCCCUCUCCUGGCCAGCAACUUUAUCAGCCCAAAUAUGACUGUUCAUCUUCAAAGUGAAAAUGGAGUCCUGGGUUUGGGUCCACACCCACGACAACAUGAAGCUGAUGCAGAUCUCAUCAAUACAGGCAAGGAAACAGUUACUAUUCUUCCAGGAGCCUCCUUUUUCUCCAGCGAUGAAUCAUUUGCAAUGAUUAGAGGGGGACAUGUCGAUCUGACAAUGCUAGGAGCAAUGCAGGUUUCCAAAUAUGGCUAACUGGAUGAUACCUGGGAAGAUGGUGAAAGGAAUGGGAGGUGCUAUGGAUGUAGCGUCCAGUGCCAAAACCAAAGUGGUGGUCACCAUGGAGCAUUCUGCAAAGGGAAAUGCACAUAAAAUCAUGGAGAACUGUACAUUACCAUUGACUGGAAAGCAAUGUGUCAACCGCAUUAUUACUGAAAAGACUGUGUUUGAUGUGGACAAGAAAAAAGGGCUGACUCUGAUUGAGCUCUGGGAAGGUCUGACAGUGGAUGACACACAGAAGAGUACCGGGUGUGAUUUUGCAGUUUCACCAAAACUCAUGCCAAUGCAGCAGAUCGCAAAUUGAAACAUGAAUAUUUGUACCAGGCUGCGUGUUUUUCAUUUUAAACACAUAGGAUUUAAUUGAAAGGCCACCAGUAAUCAUAAUUGUGUAUUUAACAGGUGGGUUUUGAUUAGUUUUCUUCUAGGGUUUCAGACUUUAUGCAUCCAUAUAAACUGUUCUCUAGGCAUGCUGUGACAUUUUAAUAAAAAGCAAAAGGAGCAUUUAUAAUUAUCUCAUUUGUUAAGUACCGAGAAGGUUGUCUUUAUAAUAGGUAAUUAUAUUGAAUGCAUUUUCACUGAAUAUGGUAUGUAUGCUAAAUUAUAUGAACCUUUCCCAAAGAAGGGCCCUAUAAAUUGAUGUGGCUUUCCUCUUAACUAUUAAUUAUUAAUCCUGAAAGAAAGAUAACAUAUUUGAUUUUCUGGUUAGGAGAGUUGCUUUCAUGUUUUUUUUUUUUUUUUUCAACCUCCUCUGACUUUUCUUUUGGGGCUUCAGAUUUUAUGAUUACAUCUUGUCCCCCUAGAGCAUCCCCCUUCUUCCCAUACUGCUUUUAAACAGAUGCCCAAGAAGGCAAGCAGGAAUGUCUCUUGUAGGGGAGAGCAGGGAGAAAUAAUUAGUUCAAACCAACUAUCUAUCUGUGCUUUUCAAAGACUAAGGCAUAUUAUAGGAAUAGGAACAGAAGAAACUGAUUCUUCUGUUUUCUCAUUUUAAAACAGCCCAGUAUUCCUUUGUAUUCUCAAGGGUCCUUGAGAAUAUUUCUGUUAUUGAGACCCUGUGGGCUACUUGUGCUGUACCUCCUCUCAAGCCAAGAAGGGCUGCAGGAUAAUUUACCAUGAAUCCUUAGUAGCAAUGACAGCAGAGUUAAAACAUAAAAGGUGCUUUACUUUCAGGCUCUCGUUUUGGUUCAGAAAAGAUUUUAAAUAUUGAAUGACACUUCUACAGAACAACGAUUUUUCUUCUGCCAAGGCUACUUCCUUUAACAAAGUGUCUUUAAUUCAGCCUUGUCCAACUAGGGAAAAUAAUGAUGGACAAGUCUAGGAUUUGAAGUCAGUGAACUUUUAGUGUCAGGGAAUAAACAUGGUGGGUAGAUCAGAUUUGAAAGAAACUUCCUUAGAGGUAUUCUCAAUACUAGACAGGGGCCCAUGGGAAUGACUUCAGAAGCAUCCCUGAUAAUAGAUGGGUAAGAAGUCUAGGCACCCUGAAGAACAGGUGAGAUAGCUGGCCUCUGGACAGAGGUAGGCAUAGUACAGUACAAUAUAUCAUUCCUCUGGUCCUAAAUAUAGGAACUUAUUCAUGUUUUUAGGUGAUGGUGGUCAUUGAAACUCACUUCUCUUCUGGUGUAGCUACAAUUGUGUAAUAUACAAUAUUAGAGAAAGGACAGGCUUUUAAUAAGUAACACACACCAUAUAUAAAAUAGCCUUUCUGGCUGGCCACAUGGUUAAAUGCAUACCUUCCCAGUACUGCGGGGAAAAAAAUGACCUUUCUUAGAAUGUGCAAGUUUCAUGAGAGUAAUAUAUUGAUAUGACUUUGAAAAGAAUUGUUGAUAGUUACAUCUUCAAACUUGCUUAUCAUUCCAGUAUGCGUCUUUAAGAUAUUGUGAUUCUAAGUAGAUGACUUUAUAUUCUUGAUUAAAGAGUGCUAUACUUGCUAAGAAAUGCAUUAAGGAAUAUAAUAAAUAUUCCAAAGUGA